AUAAGAGAUAGUGAAGUCUGGCCGGGGAAAGAAAGUACCAAUCAAAUCGAAGAGCAAACCCAAACUGCUGUUCCGAGAGCAAAGAAGCAACGACGUCGUAGGGUGGGGAAGAGAUGUAUGGGGCAGGAGGAGACGAGGAAGAGGGCAUAGGAAUGGGAAUGGGAAGUGGAGGAACAGGGAUGAUGAAGAAGAUGAUGACCAGUCCUGCAGGGGGAGGGUCAGGACAGUGGGCCCCAGAGGAGACGAGGGAGCUGAUCGCCAUCCGUGGAGAACUGGAGAUCAGGAACUCCAAUUUGGCGAAGCGCAGCAAGGCGCUGUGGGAAGCAGUGAGCUCUAAGAUGGCCGAGAGAGGCUUCAACAGAACCCCCGAGCAGUGCAAAUGCAAGUGGAAGAACCUCCUCAUUCGUUACAAGGGGAAGGAGACGUCUGAUCCGGAGAGUGGGCGGGAGUGUCCCUUCUUUGAGGAAUUGCAGGCAGUGUUUACUGAAAGAGCAAAUAAUAUGCAGCGCUUACUUCUUGAAUCCGAGACGGGUUCAGCCCGGUCCAAGAAAAUGGGGAAGAGGAAAUUGAGGCCGGGCCGAUCCUCGGACGAGUUCUCAGAGGACCCAGAUGAAGAGGAUGAGGAUGAUAAGAAGAGGAAGGGUGAAAGAGUAAUUAUGCCAAAAGCAACCAAUGCUGCUAGUGGGACUAGUAGUAGUAUCCAGGAUAUGCUUAAGGCGUUUUUUCAGCAGCAGCAGAGGAUGGAGAUGGAGUGGAGGGAAAUGAUGGAGAGGCGGGCGCAGGGAAGAAGAAGAUGGAGAAGGUGGAGAGGGAGAGGUUAAUGGUGGAGCAGGCUUGGAGGGAGAGGGAAGAACAGAGAAGGAUGAGAGAAGAGAGCAGAGCUGAGAGGAGAGAUGCCCUACUGACCACUCUCUUGAAUAAACUUAUCAAUCAAACUAAUUUUUAACUCUGAGAAUUGAAUAUGCCUUUUGGGUUCAUCUUGUGCUGGCUUGAGCAUGGAAGGUUGGAUACUAAUUUACGAAUUUGUUUGAUCUAACUGAAAGUUAGAAUUGUGAUUUGGAAAGUUAGGUGUUGGGUUUAUUUGCAGUUCUUGGCAGAGAGUUCUGGGGUUACUACUACUAUACAUUUCUCUGUUACAAAAUACCAGCAAGUGCUCAUUGGCAGAGAGUGUAUUGGAGCAAGUGUUAUUUAUGUAAAGUGGUUAUAUUUUUGUAGUUGCAAAUGGAGAUUGGAGAUUGGAGAUUGGAGAUUGAAGGGUCAAUUGUGUAAAAAUCAAAAGAUCUUGGAGAGUAUAGUGAAUGAGACUGCACAAGUUUUGUAACAA